CUCCUAGUAACGGCGAGUGAACGGAGAUUAGCCCAUCACCGAAGCCCAUUCACUUUUGUGGACAGGGCAAUGUGGUGUUAAGGCAUGUACCUGGGGGCGUUCGUUUACCUCAAGUCCAACUCCGAUUAUGGCUUUGGAUAUUUGCCUUGGCGGGUGAAAGACCCGUGGGGGUAAACGUGUUUGCAAUUAUAACGCUCCUUAGAUGUGCAUGCUGUCGAGUCGGAUUGCUUGAGAAUGCAGUCCAAAGUGGGUGGUAAACUCCAUCCAAGGCUAAAUACUGGCACGAGUCCGAUAGUAGACAAGUACCGUGAGGGAAAGUUGAAAAGUACUCUGAAGAGAGAGUAAAUAGUACGUGAAGCCGCUUGCAGGGAAGCUGGUGGAGUCAUGCUUCAUGCAUGGAGAGUUUUUAUCAGGGCAUUAUUGUGUUCUGGAUAGUGGGCUGAUCAAUUUGUAAAUAAUUGGUCGUACUCGUGCGCCGCAAGGCACACUGGGUAGUGUGUUUGUUAUUAGCCUGCGAUUCCUGGCCUUGGUAAUCUAUUCUUCAAUGCAUACAUCAUGGUGGAUGGUUGACAUGUUGUGUGAUCGCCUAACUGUGCUUAUGUGAACUAUUUAGUCUGCAUGGUGCAGGAUGGCAGGUGGCAACUAUGAUCCUUGUGGUUAUAGAUGCUUAUAGUGGUUUUGACUUGCUGGUGGUCACCUAUAUGUAACAUUGUCACUGUCCUGUAUAAUUUGGCUGGUUUCUCUUCGGAGUCCAGUUGGUAAUAACCAUGAU
rnacentral:rRNA from 1 species